CAAACUGUCCAGGUAAAAAUGGCUGAAAGUAAAAAAAGAACAAGUAGAAUUUCCACUAUGUUUUCAUAUGAUUUAAAAAUUUAUAUCAAACACAGCUAAAAUGCUUCAUGAAUCAUUUAACUAUCAAACUGAUGGAAAUCUUUAUAAGAAACAAGAAUGUGUCCAAAGUACACGGAUGCCCCACUCGCACUAUCCUUUUCCAUGUUCCAUGGACUGUGAAAUUGGGUAAUUAUCUAAUUUGGCAUUAAAAUUAGAAAGAUCAUAUCAUAAGCAACAAGUGUACUAAGUUUCAAGUUGAUUGGACUUCAGCUUCA
rnacentral:lncRNA from 1 species